rnacentral:lncRNA from 1 species
GAGAUGAAAAUAAAAUAUUCAUUAGAAGCAGAAUAAGGUUUAUACAACUCCAAGAAUAGAAAUUAAAAAUAUAAAACCCAUAUCCCUGUGUUAGGGCUGCAUCCAGCCCUAAAGAGAAGAUCAGCCCUGCAUGGAGUUGGAGACGGCAGCAGCAGCACAGCAGCGGGCUUCCAUCUCUUCCUUUCGCCGGCUUCCUCUCCCUCUUGAACUUCUAUGGAAAUUCAUUCCCGAAAU